CCUACGGGAUGCAGCAGUGGGGAAUAUUGGACAAUGGGCGAAAGCCUGAUCCAGCCAUGCCGCGUGUGUGAAGAAGGCCUUCGGGUUGUAAAGCACUUUCAGUGGGGAAGGAAGCCUUGGGGCUAAUACCCUCGAGGAAGGACAUCACCCACAGAAGAAGCACCGGCUAACUCCGUGCCAGCAGCCGCGGUAAUACGGAGGGUGCGAGCGUUAAUCGGAAUUACUGGGCGUAAAGCGCGCGUAGGCGGUCUGAUAAGCCGGUUGUGAAAGCCCCGGGCUCAACCUGGGAACGGCAUCCGGAACUGUCAGGCUAGAGUGCAGGAGAGGAAGGUAGAAUUCCCGGUGUAGCGGUGAAAUGCGUAGAGAUCGGGAGGAAUACCAGUGGCGAAGGCGGCCUUCUGGACUGACACUGACGCUGAGGUGCGAAAGCGUGGGUAGCAAACAGGAUUAGAUACCCUUGUAGU
rnacentral:rRNA from 1 species